UUCGUGGGUUAUCGGACACAAAAAUUCGUGAGGCAUAUCCGCAUCGUCUAUGCUCGUUUCCUCUGUACGGCUCCUGUUCUCACGCUUCAGCCAGAAAAGUUGUCUCUUGAAUGUUUCUGCCAUCUAAAUAGAGAAGAUAUUCGUAUUGGAAGAUAAAAGAAGAAAUCGGCUGUGGUUACCCUGAGAUUCCAUAAUUGAGUCGUCCCGUCGAUACUUGAACUUGCGAGCAUGGUCGAUUGUGGACUGACCUUGACACAGGUCACUCCAUACUUGUGACCCAACAAGGGCAAUUAUUUCGUGCGGAGAAAAAAAGAAGAAAUUUUCUCGAGAAUUUCUUCCAAAUAUUGAUCAUUUUUUAACUUGAUCAAAUUUUCAAUAAUAAGAAAAAUAAGGAAAAAUUUUAAACGUCCGUUCAGUGGCUUUUUAUCAAUUCUCUCUGAAUCGACCGACACUUUGUUCCGCUCCAAAACAAGCAGAAACUUCAAUUUAAAAUUUUUUAUUCAUUUGUACGAAUGAAAAAAAGCAGUCCUCAGGUGCUUAAGUCGAUUUCAUAGCUUGACAUUCAUACGUGCCACUUAACUUUCUACCACCCCUCAGAAUUGCAAAGCCGUAAAAGACAUACGAUGCAAUUAAUUUUUAAUACUUUAUGAGCGUGGUAUUAAGUGCUAGAGACACUGACGUAUUCGCAGACUAUAGAAUCCUGAAUGCUUUUUAUUAGAAAUAGAAACCAUCAAUCAAUUAGCUGUCGCUUGGAAUAUGGUCAAUGUCAGUGGAAUGAAAAAUUUUAUGUCAAAAAUCAUUUAAAUUUUAUCUCCGACUACGACGCAUGAAUUCCUGUGAUCAACGUACACUUUUUUUUCUAUUUAAAAAGAUAAUUGAGAUCAUUAAAAACCAGUAAUACUCACCAGAGUUUUCAAAAAUUCAUUAAUGAACAUUAAAAAAUAAGAAAAAAAUAAUGUUUCAUUCUCUAUCGAGUGGAUUAUCAUUACUUUGAAUAAUCUUCAAACUCUCGUUUUCCAAAAUUCAACAAAAUUUCAAGCUAUAACCAUUAAAAUAUGAACAAUAACAGAGAGCGAAAAACCCUAAAAAAAGCAUGAAAGAAAACUUACCCAGAGGCGGUGACGAGGACGCAAUCACCAGCGAAGUCAACGCUGUUUACAUCGCUGGUAUGAAUAGAGAGUGUUUGCAGCGGUUGAACAUUUUCCAUCAUCGUUGAGCCUUUUUUCAAAGGCACUUGCACAAUUUGACUAAAUUUAAAAAAAAAUGUAAUUUGUAUUUUUUCAGUAUUGUUAUUGACAGGAUUAAAAAAAAAUUUUAAUAAAGAAUUGAAGAUA